GAUGAACGCUGGCGGCGUGCCUAACACAUGCAAGUCGAACGGUGAACCACUACGGAGGUGCUCAGUGGCGAACGGGUGAGUAACAGGUGGGCAACUUGCCCCCGGCUCUGGGAUAACUGCAAGAAAUUGGGGCGAAUACUGGACUUUCACCGCAUCCCGCAUGGGUGGUGAUGGAAGGGAUUUGCGGCCGUGGCUGGGUCCGCGGCCAAUCUGCUUGUUGGUGGGGUAGUGGCGUACGAAGGCCACGACGGUGAGCCGGCCUGGGAGGGUGACCGGCCUCACUGGGCCUGAGGCAGGCGCCAGAGUGCAACGGGGGACAGCGGUGGGAAACCUUACGCAAUGGGCGGAAGCCGGACACAACGGCGCCGGGUGGGGAAUGCCGGUCUUCGGGUAAUAAACCUCUUUCGGCAGGGACGAAGCGCAAGUGACGGUACCUGAAGAAAAAGCACCGGCUAACUACGUG
rnacentral:rRNA from 1 species